UGCAACCCAUCCCCACUCUCCUCAGAUUCACCGAUUCAAUCACCCUCAUCCAUCUUAUUGUGUUUUAAUUCGUGCCGGUAGGAUGCUCUCGCAUGAACUUGUGAACAACAUUCUUGGAGUGACUGAGUAAGCUUGGCGAACUUCCCUGACCAAUCAAAGGCCAUUUGAUUUGAGAGCUGGAGGAGACAAGAUCAUGCAUGCUCUAUAUGCUGGAGGAGCAAGGCCAUCCAAGUAGAGCUGGUAUAUGCCCGAGGAGAUUCCGAAGGUCUUGGAAAUCAGCGGCGAGCGCAGCCUCAUCUACAACAUCUUCUCCUACCCCGUGUAUUAAUCACGGUUUUCUUUAUGGAGAACAGAGAACAAACACAAACAAAUCAGAUGGCACAUAAUGUUGCUCGCACACCAUGUGCAGACAUCUCAAACACCAUUAAUACAGGUGAUCAAAAUGGAUCAAACUCGUUACGACCAAUUGUUGAUGCUAAGGAACGUAAGAGGCAAAGAGAUAAGGAAAGAUAUGCCACGAUGUCUGAUGAACAGAAAAACGAGAAAAACAAAAAGCAUCGAGAAGCACGUCUACGGAAUAAAGAGUUGAAUAAGAAGCGUCCUGAAGCAAGUCAACGAAAUGAUUGCCAAAAUAUGAUGCCCAACGCGCCAAGAGGUGGAGACGAAAAAGUAAAUGUUGAUCCAGAUGAUGAUUCCGACUGGUUGCAUAUCAAUUAUACAUUACAGUCAAACGACAUUGAUGCAACGACAGAAGUUCUAACACCAGGCAGUGUGCACGAAAAUGUUGGCCACACACCUAAGCAUACUAGACAGAGGACCGCCUACUUUAGCGAGCGGUACAAAAACUUAACUCCCGUCGAGAGGGAGUUUAGGCGUGAACGCCUUAGGUUGUAUAAUAGAACACCAAGGCGAAAAGAGGCAAAGGUAGACCACAACAGGAGACGUAGAGUUAUGCAAGCCGGCACUUUGAAUCCCACAUCCAUCGCCAUGGAGGACUCAACAUAUACCCCUGAGUUGGUACACCCUACAGCAGAUGUAAAGGGAUCUGAUGGAUCCAUAUUAACUGUCUACGACUGGGUUAUCCCUGAAUUCAUCAACGCACCUUUCUUGCCAUCUCCAACCCAGACCGAGGAUGUCGCUUCGCCCGAUAUGUCUACCAAUACACUAAAGCGUAAACAUCAUGUUCCUCGUGGGGAAAGACAAGCUAUAUUAGCUCGUCGAAACCAGCUAUUUGAAUCAGCCAUAUCAAGGAAGGUGGGUACUUCGAUUGAGGAUACUAGCGGUGACGCUGUUGAAGGGGACGAUUGGACACAGCGCUAUACGCCUAUGAAGAUCACCAACAAUGGUGAUGACGAUGAGGGUGUCAUAUUCGAAGACGACGAUGAUGAGAACGAGGGAUACCUAUUCACUGCGCAAUAUGAGGAUACCGAUGAGGAUAUCGAGAUCGAUGGUACUCAAGAAGAAUCUACUGCCACUUAUGUUUCUGACCCGUACGACAAGGUGUACAGCAACAUCCUUGAAGAAACACAUAUGCUCAAGCUUGUUCCCAACUGCGGUUAUUGCACCGCGAAGAAGUUUGAGUAUGAGCCACCUGGGUUUUGUUGUCGUGGUGGGAAGGUUGAGCUAGCUCCAGUGG
rnacentral:misc_RNA from 1 species